CAAAGAGCGCAAGGGGAAUGCCUUGGCACUGAGAGCCGAUGAAGGACGUAACUAACUGCGAUAAGCUGCGGGAAGCCGUAAGUAGGCUGCGAUCCGCAGAUUUCCGAAUGGAGCAAUCCGGCUGGAGUCAAGUCCAGUCAUCAUAUAUUGAAUAAAUAGAUAUAUGAGGGGAACUGCCUGAACUGAAACAUCUAAGUAGGGCGAGGAAAAGAAAUCAAUUGAGAUUCCGCUAGUAGUGGCGAGCGAAUGCGGAGUAGGUCAAACCAUUGGUAGCAAUAUCUUUGGGGUUAGGACAGUUAUAUGUAUUCUUUAGCUUAAUCGAAUAGUAUGGAAAGACUAACCGAAGAGCGUGAUAGUCGCGUAUAUGAAAAGUGAGAGAAGCUGACUGUAUCCAGAGUACCGCCGGACACGUGGAACCCGGUGGGAAGAUGGGGGGACCAUCCUCCAAGCCUAAAUACUAAUCAGUGACCGAUAGCGUAUAGUACUGUGAAGGAAAGGUGAAAAGUACCCCGGAAGGGGAGUGAAAUAGAACCUGAAACCUUGUGCUUACAAGCACCGAGAGCCCGUCAAUGGGUGAUCGGGUACCUAUUGUAGAAUGGUCCGGCGAGUGAAUAUUGUUGGCGAGGUUAAGGACUUUAUGUCUGGAGCCGAAGGGAAACCGAGUCUUAAAUGGGCGUUUUAGUCAGCUGUAUUCGACCCGAAACCGGGUGACCUACCCAUGUCCAGGUUGAAGUGAGGGUAAAACCUCAUGGAGGACCGAACCGACUCCCGUUGAAAUGGUAGCGGAUGAGGUGUGGGUAGCGGAGAAAUUCCAAUCGAACCCGGAGAUAGCUGGUUCUCUCCGAAAUAGCUUUAGGGCUAGCCUUGCAUUGAGAUUACUGGAGGUAAAGCACUGAAUGGGCUAGGGGCCGAAAGGUUACUGAACCCUAUCAAACUCUGAAUGCCAGUUAAUUGUUUUGCAGGAGUCAGACGGCGAGAGAUAAGUUCCGUCGUCAAAAGGGAAAGAGCCCAGACCCACAGCUAAGGUCCCAAAGUAAGUUUAAGUGGAAAAGGAUGUGAAGUUGCUCAGACAGCCAGGAUGUUGGCUUAGAAGCAGCCACUCAUUUAAAGAGUGCGUAAUAGCUCACUGGUCAAGUGACUUUGCGCCGAAGAUUUAACGGGGCUAAAAUUUACACCGAAGCUUGGGCUGGCAAGUGAUUAAUAAUGGACAAUAAAAUGUUUCUCUUUUCGAUGUAUUCUUUUUAUUUAAUCGUUUUAUGAAGUUUAUGUUGAGUUUUAUUGUUCGUUGUUAAUUACUUGCCGGGGUAGGAGAGCGUUCUGUAUGGGAUGAAGUCACAGCGUAAGCGGUGGUGGACUGUACUGAAGUGAGAAUGCCGGAAUGAGUAGCGAGAAAUAUGUGAGAAUCAUAUUGGCCGAAAAUCUAAGGUUUUUGGGGGAAGGUUCGUCCGCCCCAAGUAAGUCGGGAGCUAAGGCGAGGCCGAGAGGCGUAGUCGAUGCACAUACGGUUGAUAUUCCGUAACCACUAAAAGAUUUAAGCAAAAUGACACCUUGAAAGGGCAUGACCCGGGCGUUGGUUGACUCGGGCGUAAGGGACUGAAAUUUAGUAGGGAAGCAUGUUUAGACAAGGGCGAGAAAAGUUUUGUGUAUAUCUUCGGUGCCCGUACCGCAAACCGACACAGGUAGAUAGGAUGAGGAUUCUAAGGCCAACGGGAGAAGGGUAUUUAAGGAACUCGGCAAAAUGACCCCGUAACUUCGGGAGAAGGGGUGCCUGGUGAAAGCCAGGCCGCAGUGAAUAGGCCCAGGCGACUGUUUAUCAAAAACACAGGUCUCUGCUAAGUCGUAAGACGAUGUAUAGGGGCUGACACCUGCCCGGUGCUGGAAGGUUAAGAGGAGAUGUGAGAGCAUUGAAUUGAAGCCCCAGUAAACGGCGGCCGUAACUAUAACGGUCCUAAGGUAGCGAAAUUCCUUGUCGGGUAAGUUCCGACCCGCACGAAUGGUGUAACGAUCUGGACACUGUCUCAACUACCCACCCGGCGAAAUUGUAGUACCGGUGAAGAUGCCGGUUACCUGCGGCAAGACGGAAAGACCCCAUGGAGCUUUACUGUAGCUUGAUAUUGGGUUUCGGUGAUUUAUGUACAGGAUAGGUGGGAGACUUUGAAACUGAGGCGUCAGCCUUAGUGGAGUCGUCCUUGGGAUACCACCCUUAAAUCAUUGGAAUUCUAACCUGUGGCCAUGAAUCUGGUCAGGGGACAUUGUCUGGUGGGCAGUUUGACUGGGGCGGUCGCCUCCUAAAGUGUAACGGAGGCGCUCAAUGGUUAGCUCAGCACGGUCGGAAAUCGUGCUAUUGAGUGCAAACGCAUAAGCUAGCCUAACUGCGAGGAUGACGGUCCGAGCAGUAACGAAAGUUGGAGUUAGUGAUCCGGCGGUAUGUGAAUGGAAAUGCCGUCGCUCAACGGAUAAAAGCUACCCUGGGGAUAACAGGCUGAUCUCCCCCAAGAGUUCACAUCGACGGGGAGGUUUGGCACCUCGAUGUCGGCUCAUCACAUCCUGGGGCUGUAUUCGGUCCCAAGGGUUCGGCUGUUCGCCGAUUAAAGUGGUACGCGAGCUGGGUUCAGAACGUCGUAAGACAGUUCGGUCCCUAUCUGCCGUGGGCGCAGGAUAUUUGCGGAGGUCUGUCCCUAGUACGAGAGGACCGGGAUGGAUGCACCUCUGGUGCACCAGUUGUCAUGCCAGUGGCAUCGCUGGGCAGCUAUGUGCGGUUCGGAUAAACGCUGAAAGCAUCUAAGCGUGAAGCCGGCUCUUAGAUUAGAUAUCCCUCUCAACUUCGGUUGAGGUAAGACCCCUUGUAGACUACAAGGUUGAUAGGCUGUGUGUGUUAGCGUGGUAACAUGUUUAGCUUGACAGUACUAAUUGGUCGAGGGUUUGUCCU
rnacentral:rRNA from 1 species